GCGUGUGUGAUGAAGGCUUUCGGGUCGUAAAGCACUGUUGUAUGGGAAGAAAUGCUAAAAUAGGGAAUGAUUUUAGUUUGACGGUACCAUACCAGAAAGGGACGGCUAAAUACGUGCCAGCAGCCGCGGUAAUACGUAUGUCCCGAGCGUUAUCCGGAUUUAUUGGGCGUAAAGCGAGCGCAGACGGUUGAUUAAGUCUGAUGUGAAAGCCCGGAGCUCAACUCCGGAAUGGCAUUGGAAACUGGUUAACUUGAGUGUUGUAGAGGUAAGUGGAACUCCAUGUGUAGCGGUGGAAUGCGUAGAUAUAUGGAAGAACACCAGUGGCGAAGGCGGCUUACUGGACAACAACUGACGUUGAGGCUCGAAAGUGUGGGUAGCAAACAGGAUUAGAUACCCUGGUAGUCCACACCGUAAACGAUGAAUACUAGGUGUUAGGAGGUUUCCGCCUCUUAGUGCCGAAGCUAACGCAUUAAGUAUUCCGCCUGGGGAGUACGACCGCAAGGUUGAAACUCAAAGGAAUUGACGGGGACCCGCACAAGCGGUGG
rnacentral:rRNA from 1 species